GUGUCAGCAGCCGCGGUAAGACGAACCGUGCGAACGUUGUUCGGAAUCACUGGGCUUAAAGGGCGCGUAGGUGGUCUGUCAAGUCGGGGGUGAAAUCUUUCGGCUCAACCGGAAAACUGCCUUCGAUACUGACAGGCUGGAGGGAGGUAGGGGUUGCGGGAACUACCAGUGGAGCGGUGAAAUGCGUUGAUAUUGGUAGGAACGCCGGUGGCGAAAGCGCGCAACUGGACCUUUUCUGACACUGAGGCGCGAAAGCUAGGGGAGCAAACGGGAUUAGAUACCCCGGUAGUCCUAGCCUUAAACGAUGAGGACUAGGUUGUGGACUAGACAUGGGUUCACAGCCGAAGCUAAAGUGCUAAGUCCUCCGCCUGGGGAGUAUGGUCGCAAGGCUGAA
rnacentral:rRNA from 1 species